rnacentral:rRNA from 1 species
ACGAACGCUGGCGGCAGGCUUAACACAUGCAAGUCGAACGGUUGUAGCAAUACAGCAGUGGCAGACGGGUGAGUAACACGUGGGAACCUGCCUUGAGGUUCGGGACAACCGCGGGAAACUGCGGCUGAUACCGGAUGAUGUCUUUGGACCAAAGAUUUAUCGCCUUGAGAGGGGCCCGCGUCGGAUUAGGUAGUUGGUGAGGUAACGGCUCACCAAGCCUUUGAUCCGUAACUGGUCUGAGAGGAUGGCCAGUCACACUGGGACUGAGACACGGCCCAGACUCCUACGGGAGGCAGCAGUGGGGAGUAUUGGACAAUGGGGGCAACCCUGAGCCAGCAAUGCCGCGUGGGUGAUGAAGGCCCUCGGGUUGUAAAGCCCUUUCGGCGGGGACGAUGAUGACGGUACCCGCAGAAGAAGCCCCGGCUAACUUCGU